rnacentral:lncRNA from 10 species
GCCUGGAGACUGGAGCGAGCUGCGUUCUUGGGGGUGGGGGGUGGGGCGGCAGCUGGAGAGUGGGGGCUUCCCCAGCGGGAGAGGGAGGACGAUUCUGGAUGGCUUCCCUCCUUGUGGACAGAGUGAGUCUCUGCUAUGAGAAAGUAGAGACGGGGUUUCACCGUCUUAGCCAGGAUGGUCUCGAUCUCCUGACCUCGUGAUCCGCCCGCCUCGGCCUCCCAAAGUGCUAGGACUAACAGGCGUGAGCCACCGCACCCGGCCAAGCUGGAUCUUAAGCUUGCUUACCGGUGACUUGUUGACCUCAUCUUGGCUCAAAGAAGACACGGCCCCAGGCUAUUGAGAGUGAAAACAAGCACUGACAUGAACACCCAACCAGCUGCCGGUGACAUCGUCCCCUUCUGAGAUCUGAGGACAUGGAUACCCAACCACCUGCCGGUGACAUCGUCUCCUUCUGAGAUCUGAGGACAUGAACACCCAACCACCUGCCGGUGAUAUCGUCCCCUUCUGAGAUCUGAGGACGUGGAUAUCCAACCACCUGCCGGUGACAUUGUCUCCUUCUGAGAUCUGAGGACAUGGACACCAAACCACCUGCCGGUGACAUUGUCUCCUUCUGAGAUCUGAGGACAUGAACACCAAACCACCUGCCAGUGACAUCGUCCCCUUCUGAGAUCUGAGGACAUGGAUACCCAACCACCUGCCGGUGACAUCGUCUCCUUCUGAGAUCUGAGGACAUGGACACCCAACCACCUGCCGGUGACAUCGUCUCCUUCUGAGAUCUGAGGACAUGAACACCCAACCACCUGCCGGUGAUAUCGUCCCCUUCUGAGAUCUGAGGACGUGGAUAUCCAACCACCUGCCGGUGACAUUGUCUCCUUCUGAGAUCUGAGGACAUGGACACCAAACCACCUGCCGGUGACAUUGUCUCCUUCUGAGAUCUGAGGACAUGAACACCAAACCACCUGCCAGUGACAUCGUCCCCUUCUGAGAUCUGAGGACAUGGAUACCCAACCACCUGCCGGUGACAUCAUCUUCUUCUGAGAUCUGAGGACAUGGACACCCAACCACCUGCCGGUGACAUCGUCUCCUUCUGAGAUCUGAGGACAUGGACACCAAACCACCUGCCGGUGACAUCGUCUCCUUCUGAGAUCUGAGGACAUGAACACCCAACCACCUGCCGGUGAUAUCGUCCCCUUCUGAGAUCUGAGGACGUGGAUAUCCAACCACCUGCCGGUGACAUUGUCUCCUUCUGAGAUCUGAGGACAUGGACACCAAACCACCUGCUGGUGACAUUGUCUCCUUCUGAGAUCUGAGGACAUGAACACCAAACCACCUGCCAGUGACAUCGUCCCCUUCUGAGAUCUGAGGACAUGGAUACCCAACCACCUGCCGGUGACAUCAUCUUCUUCUGAGAUCUGAGGACAUGGACACCCAACCACCUGCCGGUGACAUCGUCUCCUUCUGAGAUCUGAGGACAUGGACACCAAACCACCUGCCGGUGACAUCGUCUCCUUCUGAGAUCUGAGGACAUGAACACCCAACCACCUGCCGGUGACAUCGUCCCCUUCUGAGAUCUGAGGACAUUGAUACCCAGCCACCUGCCGGUGACAUCGUCUCCUUCUGAGAUCUGAGGAUAUGGACACCAAACCACCUGCCGGUGACAUCGUCUCCUUCUGAGAUCUGAGGACAUGAACACCCAACCACCUGCCGGUGACAUCGUCCCCUUCUGAGAUCUGAGGACAUGGAUACCCAACCACCUGCCGGUGACAUCGUCUCCUUCUGAGAUCUGAGGACAUGGACACCCAACCUGCUGCUGGUGACAUCGUUCCCUUCUGAGAUCUGAGGACAUGGACACCAAACCACCUGCCAGUGACAUCGUCUCCUUCUGAGAUCUGAGGACAUGGACACCAAACCUGCUGCCGGUGACAUCGUCCCCUUCUGAGAUCUGAGGACAUGGACACCCAACCACCUGCCGGUGACAUCGUCUCCUUCUGAGGUCUGAGGACAGACACUCACAUGGACACCUAAACACCUGCCGAUGAUAUUGUCUCCUUCUGAAAUCUGAGGACAUGGACACCCAACCAGCUGCUGGUGACAUCAUCUCCUUCUGAGAUCUGAGGACAGACACUCACAUAGACGCCCAAUCAGCUGCUGGUGACAUUGUCUCCUUCUGAAAUCUGAGGGUUGGAACACAUUGGCCUGGCUCAGUGUUUCUCCAUGUGGUUUUGAGACCACCUGAGUUGGAACCGAUAUGGGUUCCCAGCCUCACGCCUGGAGAGCUGGAUUUUGCGAGUGUGAGGUUAGGUCCAGCAUCUGCAUGUGUAACGAGCUCCCAGGUGUUUCGUAGAUGCAUUAGGGCUUGAGAAGCUCCUUUCUAGCACCAUCUUCCUUUUUGCGCAUGAGGGAGUUCAGGUCCAGAGAAAUAAAGCAGCAAGGUUAGUGGCACAGCUGGCGCCCCCUGCUUUCUAGGAAUUUAGAAUAUUAUUGAAGAGAGAGGUAUUAGAACCUGUGAAGUCAAUACAGAGACCUCCAGGCGAGUGGCAUCCUCACUGAAACCACUGACAAGUAUGCUGAAUAGAAAGUGUCAUUUCUCCUGGAAGACCCUCAGUGACCCAGCUGGAGGGUCUCUCCUACUCAUCAGCUGUCCCUCACUCUGCCAUUUCAG